GUUCCUGAAAGUGAUAACAGCUCAAGAGUACAGUGGUGAUUCUGAUACAGAGCAUGGAGAAAGGUCACACAAAGAUACUAUGUACAGAGAUUAUGAUGUUCAAUAUUCACAGCAUGGACCAGGGAGCUAUAUUACAUCCCCAAAGCAUAAGAAAAAUGCAAAUGAUUAUGAUGGUAAUAGUAACUACAGUGAUGGUAACUACAAUGAGGAAGAAGAAGAAGAUUUUGCUGAAUAGCUGAAACACUACAGACAAGCAAAGGAGAACACAAAUGUGGCUGAACUACAAUGUGAAAGGAAUUUAGCAAGGUAAAUGUAUUGAAACAUACAUCAAUGAAGAAUUGUUGCCACUUAUUACAGACAUGCUGUUUUUAGUCUUCACAAGCGCUUCACGUAGGGGGUAGCAUCCGGAUGAAUAUAAUCAGCGGUGGAGCCGAAGAAUAAAUUAAAAGUUCAACUUUAUUCAAUCCCUUUAAAAUAGUAUAUACAAGCGUGCACAGUAUGCAAUUGGCAAUAAAGAGUCGCAUAUGAGUUAA